AUUCCGUGGUGAUGGCAAACCGAGAGAUACUCUUGGAAGCAUUCCCAUGCCUCAUAGAUUCACUCAUCUGACACCUGACGAAAAUUGGUUAUCCUUCCACGAAGGGC
rnacentral:snoRNA from 1 species